CCUCUUCUCUCCAUUAUCCGCAGAGGUGCUGAGCCCAAGCAAUUGGCUUUCUCUGCUGCUCUUGGCAUUACAAUGGGAGUAUUUCCUAUAUGCGGUAUGCUGUAAUUAACUUACCUCGAAAUAUAAUGAAGAUUUAUGUUGGAACCCAAUUAAAAAGAUUUAUAUAGUCUUAGGGUCGCAUAGUGGCCUCGACCCGAGCGGAAGUGUGAUGUUUUAUUGUCAAUGUACAAUCUUCAUCAUGUUGCAGUUUGAAUUUGAUUUUUACUUUUGGAACUAUGAUCUUUAUUGUUCGUAUUCAUGUUAAUUGGAUAGCAUAAUGUUUGGUGUUCAGCAGUAAUACUUAUCAAGUUCAGAAUUUUUUACGGAUUUUCUCACUGAGUUGAAACGUAUCUUAGAUCUUCAAAUAGUGGAUACCCUUCUCCCAUUAUUCUAGGGUGAAUUGAAAAUUCUAGUAAACUAUGGCCAGCAACCUAAGGAUAGUAGUACAAACCGAUUAACGUACCGAAUGCAUGAACAUUAAACAAAUGAAGAAUAUGAUUUAAGUUGGAUGUUUACGAAAGUAUAAUGAUGUGACAUUAAAUGUGGUGGUUCUGCUAUGAUUUGUGAGACAUGCUAAUGUUUUCCAAAUAGGUGUCACCGUAUUUCUUUGUGUGAUGGCUAUUGGAUUGCUUGGAUCAUUUUGCCAUGCUCCAACCGUGAUGCUUGCAAACUUUAUUGCUACUCCAAUUGAGUUAAGUCUUGUUGUACCCUUUUUACGCUUUGGUGAAGCUAUCACUGGUGGAUCACAUUUCCCUUUAACAUCCGAUGCUUUAAAGAAAGUUCUUACUGGUCACGCUUCACAUGAAGUCCUGUUAAGUGUUGCACAUGCGAUAUUAGGAUGGAUGGCUGCAUCACCAUUUAUUUUGGGAGCUUUAUAUAUAUUACUUAUACCAAUCUUCAAAUUUCUGGUUCUUAAAUUCUCAAGUGUUCCAUUGAGUCCAAAGAAGCCACUCCAUCCACAUUCAGAGCUAUUGGAGAAUUGAAGAUCAUGAUGGGAUUUCAAUUUCUUCAGAAGCAGGUUCAUAAAGGUAAUCUAAGAAGUUCAGCUAAGUAACAUUGAAGUGAUGUUAGUAGUUUUCAAAUGGAAAUAUAAUAAUGUUAUUUUGACAACAAAUUGUGUUAAGUUUAACAAUGUAAGGUUAUUUGUGAGUUGUAUAGGGGAAUAUGCAUGAAUAUUGCAUAACUAUAUAAGGCCAUUUGCAUAUAUCUCCUAGACCCCAUUAGGGAACUCUAGUAAAUAGGUUGUCCUUCUAUAGGGUAUUGGUUAUGUAUUCACGUGAAUCAGUGUUCUAAGAGCAUCUCCAAUGGUUGUUUGUAACUCAUUCUUAUGAAAAUAAGGAUAUUUUUAUUCUGUUUUCCAAAAAAAAA
rnacentral:lncRNA from 1 species